UGGUGGGUGGCGAUGAUUUUCUCUCUCAUAUCUGGAAUCAAAUCUUUCCAACAUUACAUUCCAUGGGAGAAAUAAGCGAGCGAAUCGAAGUGUGUUCUCUUCUCCCAAGCUGAUGGUGGGACAAUCCCAGCAGACACAACCAUGUCUCAUCCCUCUGCUCCCUGUCCUCCUGGAUCAUGUCUCUGUAGUUCCCUGUGCUGAGAGUGGCUGGAAAAGGAGAUGUUCCACGCAGGGCAGCACCCUGCUGAGCAUCCUUCGGCCAGCUCUGCCCAGGAUAGGCACCUUUUCAAACAGCCAGACUGGAAUUCAAAAGAAGUAAGAAGCUGCACUUGUUCCAUUGAUUUGGAGUUGGCAAAGCUCGUACACUCACAAACACGCCGCUUUCUGCCUCCUUUAGAAGCAGUGAGAUCUUCCUAUUGAACAGGUACACUGAAUCUAUCCAGCAGCUUUGUUUUCCCUGUCCAC